rnacentral:misc_RNA from 1 species
AAGGCCUCUGGGCUGUAAACCUCUUUUAUCAAGGAAGAAGAUCUGACGGUACUUGAUGAAUAAGCCACGGCUAAUUCCGUGCCAGCAGCCGCGGUAAUACGGGAGUGGCAAGCGUUAUCCGGAAUUAUUGGGCGUAAAGCGUCCGCAGGCGGUCUUGUAAGUCUGUCGUUAAAGCGUGGAGCUUAACUCCAUUUCGGCGGUGGAAACUACAAGACUAGAGUGUGGUAGGGGCAGAGGGAAUUCCCGGUGUAGCGGUGAAAUGCGUAGAUAUCGGGAAGAACACCAGUGGCGAAGGCGCUCUGCUGGGCCAUAACUGACGCUCAUGGACGAAAGCCAGGGGAGCGAAAGGGAUUAGAUACCCCUGUAGUCCUGGCCGUAAACGAUGAACACUAGGUGUCGGGGGAAUCGACCCCCUCGGUGUCGUAGCCAACGCGUUAAGUGUUCCGCCUGGGGAGUACGCACGCAAGUGUGAAACUCAAAGGAAUUGACGGGGGCCCGCACAAGCGGUGGAGUAUGUGGUUUAAUUCGAUGCAACGCGAAGAACCUUACCAGGGUUUGACAUCCUGCGAAUCCCUUGGAAACGAGGGAGUGCCUUCGGGAGCGCAGUGACAGGUGGUGCAUGGCUGUCGUCAGCUCGUGUCGUGAGAUGUUGGGUUAAGUCCCGCAACGAGCGCAACCCACGUUUUUAGUUGCCAGCAUUUAGUUGGGCACUCUAGAAAGACUGCCGGUGAUAAACCGGAGGAAGGUGUGGAUGACGUCAAGUCAUCAUGCCCCUUACAUCCUGGGCUACACACGUACUACAAUGCUACGGACAAAGGGCAGCAAACUCGCGAGAGCUAGCAAAUCCCAUAAACCGUGGCUCAGUUCAGAUCGUAGGCUGCAACUCGCCUACGUGAAGGAGGAAUCGCUAGUAAUCGCAGGUCAGCAUACUGCGGUGAAUACGUUCCCGGGCCUUGUACACACCGCCCGUCACACCAUGGAAGUUGGCCACGCCCGAAGUCGUUACUGCAACCCUUGUGGAGGAGGACGCCGAAGGUGGGGCUGAUGACUGGGGUGAAGUCGUAACAAGGUAGCCGUACCGGAAGGUGCGGCUGGAUCACCUCCUAACAGGGAUACAAUACGCGAUUGUGAUGUCUGAGUAUUUUAAUCUCAUUCCAUGAUCCUGUCAUCUCUAAGGUCGAUCGGUACCUCAAUGGAGACAUUAGAAAGCUUGCUAACCGUAAGGUGGGUAAGUUUGUCUGAUCUAUCUUUUCAGUUCCUAAACUUUGUCUAGGUCACCCAACAACGGGUAAACAAGCUCCUGGGCCAUUAGCUCAGGUGGUUAGAGCGCACCCCUGAUAAGGGUGAGGUCCCUGGUUCAAGUCCAGGAUGGCCCAUUCGUGUUUGGGGGUUUAGCUCAGUUGGUAGAGCGCCUGCUUUGCAAGCAGGAUGUCAGGAGUUCGAGUCUCCUAACCUCCAUCCAACGCUGACCCUUGAUUACGGAAGUUCCACAGGAGAACCAACAAGGGUGACUAGACGGUGCAAGCUGAGCGGAUAAGACUCCAGCCUCAUUGCAUGCCAAGCGUACAAUCAAAGCCUUUCAGGUUUUGAUGGAAGAGACGUGAGGUUGCAGCGAUGCUGGACUCAGCGCUUUCUGAGAACAGGAAGCGAUGACGUUCAAGCAAAGAACCUUGACAACUGCAUAGGUGAGUCUGGAAAUAAAGCAUCUCAUAGAUGCUUGGUUCCGAUGUCAAAGCCAACGUUGCUUGAGCAAUCAAGUGAUGAAAGCUGACGGCAAAAGAAUCAAGAAAGUUCUUGAGUUUAGAGCCGAGAGCUUCCAGUGUUCUUGACCACCGCCGAGGUGAGUCGAGUUUGAUCCAUGAUUCAAGCCAUUGUGAUCAGUGAAUGCUGAGAGCAGCGGAUGAAUCAUGAGAGAAUAGGUUUCAACAACCUGAAGCAUUGGG